CAGACCCCUGGGAACCGCGAGCCCAGAUGGACCUUUCCUCCCUUAAGUUACAUUUGCUCAGAGCCUGUCACUAUGAGUCAUCAUCUCAGUAUCCAGCCGCAUCUGGAGCAUCGGCAAACAAUGUCCGCGCUUUCCGGGACAGCCCAGGGACCAGAUGAUGAUUGGAUGCCUCAAGGCCUAGCUGCAAGCACAAGCCAGCAUUCUGAAAGCCGUGCUGGGCAGAGGCUCACUUCAGGGGAGGAGGUUGCUGCCUUAGGGAGGACAUCCCUGAGCCUUCUCUUGGUACCGUUCCUGGAUCCUUGGGAAGGAAUCAAGAUGUCUUCAUCCUGAUGAAGUCAGUCCUGAUUCAGAUCCUGAUGUCAGUCAGGAUCUUUUGUAAACACCCGAACCUCUCUCUGCUUCACUGCAGUUCACAACACUGGGAAUUACAGCAGCCAGCGUGCAGAGCAAAGAGGGCUGUGAAAUUCAGUGUCACACAUGGCAAACUUUUCUCUGGAACCUUUUCAUAUCAUGACCUUUGUGUGACAUUGACGUGUCUUUGGAGCGUGUCGUCUUCCAAGUUGUACAAAGCAGCUGAACCAGCUGGGACAA